UACAGAGGUCUCAAGCGUUGUUCGGAUUCAUUGGGCGUAAAGGGUGCGUAGGCGGCGCGGGUAAGUCGGGUGUGAAACCUUGGAGCUUAACUCCGAAACUGCAUUCGAUACUGCCGUGCUUGAGGACUGGAGAGGAGACUGGAAUUUACGGUGUAGCGGUGAAAUGCGCAGAUAUCAGGAGGAACACCGGUGGCGAAGGCGGGUCUCUGGGCCGAUACUGACGCUGAGGAGCGAAAGCGUGGGGAGCGAACAGG
rnacentral:rRNA from 1 species